CCUCAUCUCGUUUCUCCUCCCUGAUCUGCCUCAGAGCUGCUUCAAUGUCCUGCAGCAGGAGUGAGACACAGGAGGACAUGCUGUUACCAGGUCACCGAUGGUCCUUCACUCACAGCUUAUGGGACAAACAUGGCCUGUGCCCGCCUCACCUCUGGAGAACGUGUCAGAAUGAGUGUGGACGAGCUGAUUUCUCGUCUGUGCUUACCUGUGCAGCCCUCAGCCUCAUCUGUCUCAUCUCCUGGUGAUACUGCUGUCGGAUGAGAUCCAGCUGAUGCAGGUGUGUGCUGGUGCUCAGGUCGUCCUGCUUCCUGCUCCUGAUGUCCCGGCCUCCUGCUGCGCUCAGCUGUACAUGGACGCAGACCCUGACAGUCAGAGGGAAAUGUUUUAUUCCACGACUCAUGAUGAUCAGAUGUAAUGAUGUAGUUUAACCAGUGUUUCCUCAGCAUUUAAUCCAGAGAGCUUAU